CACUGACUAAUUUUCACGUGAUGUGAUUAUUUGAAGGUGAUAUUGUUGUGGGUGCUGAUAUGAUGACAUAUGAGUGACUGUUGUGUGUUCAUUCAGUAUACUAGGGUGCAUUUUGCUUGCCUGUAUGUGGUGUGUAUUAUUUAUUAUUAUUCACUGAGUUGCAAAACUCACCCCCUUCUCUCCAAACCUCUCAGGUACUAGGAAGCAGCUGAUUCGAUUGAAGCUCUGCAAUCUUCUCCGCAGAGUUAUAAAUGUAAACUUUAUAUUUUUGUUAUUUAAUUUUGGUUGUAUAAGUUACUCUUUUAUCAGAUUAUUAUUGAACUCCGCAGUUAUAGGGUUGUGUAUUUAAAUUGGGCCUUAUUGUUAGCACUACGCUAUAAAUUAAUUAUUGUGUAAUUAACUGUAGGUAAACUAGUAAGCCCUUAUUGUGAUUAUGAGUUAUUGUGAAUAGGCCCUGGUUAAAUUUUAUGUAUUAUUUGAUAUUGGGCCAGAUGUUUGAAAAUUUUAUAAAACUUAUAUCUCAAGUCAUAUGGGCUUACUGUUUUGUUGAAAUUAGGAGAAUCACGUAGACAGAUUGAAUAAUUUAGGCUUACUACGGGCCUCGGGGGCCUUAAGCUUACCUAGGCCCUAGUGCCGGUCCGGCCCACGGAAACGGGUCGUGACAGGAGGCUAAAUUGGCU
rnacentral:lncRNA from 1 species